AUGCAGGGCGCCGGCGCCGAGGGAGGGAACAGGGGCUCACCGUCCACGAUGGAGAAGGCCGACGAGAGCGCCAAGAAGGCCAGGCUGGAGCUACCCAACGGCCAUGUGAAGCAGGAGGUGGGCGUGCAACAUGCGGUCGGAGGAGACGACGGGGGAGCAAUCGUUCCUGCGGAGGCGGGGCACGGCUCCAGAGUGGAGCUCGCCGUGAAGAUCGACAUGAGCGUGCUUCACUGCCCGCUCUGCACCCUCCCCUUCAAGCCUCCCGUCCUCCAGUGCAACAAAGGCGGGCACCUGGCCUGCGGCGGCUGCGUGGCCCUGCUGCCCGGCGGACAGUGCCGGGCGUGCGAGGACGGCGGCGGGUUCUUCUCCCCCUGCCCCGCGCUGGACGCCAUCGUGUCCUCGACCAAGAUCGUGUGCCCCAACGCCGGGUGCCAGACGUACGUGCCCUACCACGAGGCCGCCGACCACCGGAGCGCCUGCCCCCACGCACCCUGCCACUGCACGGAGCCCGGCUGCGGCUUCGUCGGCGCGCCGCAGGCGCUCGCCGGCCACCUCGUCGACCUCCACUCGGUGCCGGUGCGCACCGUCCAGUACGGCCGGGUCAGCCAGGUCCCGGUGUCGGGGCGGCGGCAGCUGCUCGUCGCCGAGGAGGACGGCCGCUCGUUCCUCCUGACCGUGGGCGCGCUCGGGGCCGCCGCGGCCGCCGUGUCGGUGGUGUGCGUCAGGGCGAGCGCGUCCACGCAGCCGCGCUUCUCGUGCAAGAUGUGGGUGAACCUGGUGCAGCCGGCGAGCGGCGGCAGGGCGGACAUGGUCCUGGUGGACAUCCAGAUGAGGAGCAGCGCCACGCCCGGCGCGGUGGUCGCCGUGGACGAACCGACGUUCCUGGCGGUGCCGCGGAUGUACAUGGUUCCGGUGGACGGGGACGCGGCGUCCAUGGAGGUUCCCCUCAACAUCCGCGUCGACAAGAUCUCCCGCUGA
rnacentral:rRNA from 1 species